rnacentral:rRNA from 1 species
AUGUACAUUCUUGCAACUUAGCGUUAAUGCAUCAUAUCCCAUUAUAACUCCGUAGUUAAAUGCGCUUGGGCUAGAGUAGUACUUGGAUGGGUGACCGCCCGGGAAAUCCUAGUAUUUUACAUG